GGAGAGGUAAGGAGAAGAAGCAAGAUGAGAGAAAAGGAGCAAGGAUGCAAAAUCUUUCCCUUAAGGAGUUUGUGGAGUGCCAAGAUUCCAGAGAGAGCAUAAAAAGAGAAAAGUCCCAUCAGAGUUCCAGACCCGAGCGGACGGAGGAAGAAAUGCAGCCGACUCAAUAUGAGUGAUAAAGCAUACUUCAACUUUAUUGCCCGAGAUAGCGUGCAUUUAUACCAAAUACCAUAAUUAUGCAUACUUGUCUCUAUCUAAUAGGCUAAGCACAUUUACUUACUCCACCUACUUGGGUUUAGCUAGCUAUGCGCAUCCCACAUUCUUCUGACUCUUAUCUCUUCAAAAAUAUCCUAACCCUGCCUUAGUUAGUACUUUUCUGUUCCCCCCUUUCCCACGGCCUAAUAGACAAGCUAACUAAGGCCUACUUAUGUCAACUAAAAUGGGCUCUGCUCGUACAGUUGCUUGGUGGACUCAUGUCUGUGCUCCUUGAGCCAAUCCCCGACACCUCUUUGGGAAAAAAAACAAUCAUCAAGACACAACACUUUAUUAAGUGACCAAUUAAGGUAGUUUUAUUUAAGUGUCAACUGUAGAAGAGGAAGAAAUCUCUCCCUGAGUUCCACCUGAGUCUACACAGAAGAGGUCACGAGUCCUGCAGAGCACAUUACUUAUUUGCAUUUUAAAUCAACAGUCUCAGCUUUUACUGUCAUUUUAUUACACAAAGAGACAAAGCAGGGCUGUACUUUAUUGUAUAGAGCUUUUUUCCUUAAGUCAGUUAAUUUCAAAAGGAACUUUCAGAGAAAGAUACUAAUAGUAACCCCGUCUAUAUUAAUGGAAGAUGGUUUAAUUAAUGAGUCCUUAGUCCUAAGUCCUUGCUGCAUUUUAAAAUGGUGUAGGACUGAUUGAUUGUUAGCUAUGAGGAGAUUUAUGCCAUCCUGAAAGGAUUCCCAAUACAUGCAGUACUUUUCAAUGAAGUAAGAGAAUAGCUCCGUGCAGUACUUGGGGUUUUAUUCUCCUGCAGUUAAUACAUAUCCAGUCUGAUUAGAGGAUCUCCAGCCUGAAUUACAGUUCCAGCAUAAACCUGGAGAAAUUCUGUCUUGUCAUCCCGUCCCGGCUCUUGCUUUCUGUCACCAGCACCUCCCACCUCCUCUUUCUAUGUGGUACAAGUGUCUGGAUUUAAAUACUGGUGCAUGACUUGAAGAUGUCUGCUAUACUAGUGCCUCUAGACUUCUGA